rnacentral:rRNA from 1 species
CAGUCGCCGCGGUAAUACGUAGGGUGCAAGCGUUGUCCGGAAUUAUUGGGCGUAAAGAGCUCGUAGGCGGUUUGUCGCGCCUGCUGUGAAAUCUGGGGGCUCAACCCCCAGCCUGCAGUGGGUACGGGCAGACUAGAGUGCGGUAGGGGAGAUUGGAAUUCCUGGUGUAGCGGUGGAAUGCGCAGAUAUCAGGAGGAACACCGAUGGCGAAGGCAGAUCUCUGGGCCGUAACUGACGCUGAGGAGCGAAAGCAUGGGGAGCGAACAGGAUUAGAUACCCGAGUAGUCCCUGUCUCUUAUAC